AUAAAAAACCAACGCCCUUCGGGGCUCCUUGGUGAAUCAUAAUAACUUAACGAAUCGCAUGGCCUUGCGCCGGCGAUGGUUCAUUCAAAUUUCUGCCCUAUCAACUUUCGAUGGUAGGAUAGUGGCCUACCAUGGUGGCAACGGGUAACGGGGAAUUAGGGUUCGAUUCCGGAGAGGGAGCCUGAGAAACGGCUACCACAUCCAAGGAAGGCAGCAGGCGCGCAAAUUACCCAAUCCCGAUACGGGGAGGUAGUGACAAUAAAUACUGAUACGGGGCUCUUUUGGGUCUCGUAAUUGGAAUGAGAACAAUUUAAAUCCCUUAACGAGGAACAAUUGGAGGGCAAGUCUGGUGCCAGCGGCCGCGGUAAUUCCAGCUCCAAUAGCGUAUAUUAAAGUUGUUGCAGUUAAAAAGCUCGUAGUUGAACCUUGGGCCUGGCUGGUCGGUCCGCCUCACCGCGAGUACUGAUCCGGCUGGGCCUUUCCUUCUGGGGAACCUCAUGGCCUUCACUGGCUGUGG
rnacentral:rRNA from 1 species